rnacentral:rRNA from 1 species
GAAUCUGCCCUCAGGAGGGGGAUAACAGUUGGAAACGACCGCUAAUACCCCAUAUGCCGAGAGGUGAAAUGAAAUUCGCCUGAGGAUGAGCUCGCGUCUGAUUAGCUAGUUGGUAAGGUAAUGGCUUACCAAGGCAUUGAUCAGUAGCUGGUCUGAGAGGAUGAUCAGCCACACUGGGACUGAGACACGGCCCAGACUCCUACGGGAGGCAGCAGUGGGGAAUUUUCCGCAAUGGGCGCAAGCCUGACGGAGCAACGCCGCGUGAGGGAUGAAGGCCUCUGGGCUGUAAACCUCUUUUAUCAAGGAAGAAGAACUGACGGUACUUGAUGAAUAAGCCACGGCUAAUUCCGUGCCAGCAGCCGCGGUAAUACGGGAGUGGCAAGCGUUAUCCGGAAUUAUUGGGCGUAAAGCGUCCGCAGGCGGUUUUACAAGUCUGUCGUUAAAGCGUGGAGCUCAACUCCAUUUCAGCGAUGGAAACUGUAAGACUCGAGUGUGGUAGGGGCAGAGGGAGUUCCCGGUGUAGCGGUGAAAUGCGUAGAUAUCGGGAAGAACACCAGUGGCGAAAGCGCUCUGCUGGGCCAUAACUGACGCUCAUGGACGAAAGCCAGGGGAGCG